rnacentral:rRNA from 1 species
AACGCGAAGAACCUUACCUGGGCUUGACAUGUGGGUGACCGGUGUGGAAACACAUCUUCCCUUCGGGGCACCUUCACAGGUGGUGCAUGGCUGUCGUCAGCUCGUGUCGUGAGAUGUUGGGUUAAGUCCCGCAACGAGCGCAACCCCCGUCGCAUGUUGCCAGCAUUUAGUUGGGGACUCAUGCGAGACUGCCGGUGACAAACCGGAGGAAGGUGGGGAUGACGUCAAGUCAUCAUGCCCCUUAUGUCCAGGGCUACACACGUGCUACAUUGGCGCAUACAGAGGGUUGCGAUACCGCGAGGUGGAGCGAAUCCCUUAAAGUGCGUCUCGGUUCGGAUUGCAGGCUGAAAUUCGCCUGCAUGAAGGCGGAGUUGCUAGUAAUCGCGGAUCAGCACUGCCGCGGUGAAUACGUUCCCGGGCCUUGUA